GUGAAUGAAUCAAGGAAGAAAGGAAAAGGAAAAGAAAAAGAAAGAAACAACAGAAUACAACAGAAUACAGAAUACCAGCAAGUACGAGUAAGGAACAUAACCCCAAUGUGUCAGAGCCACAAGGUGUCAGAACCAAAAUGCAAGGACUCGUUAAAAGGAACAAAUCAAAUAAAAGAGCUGAAUUACAGCUCAAAGGAAGAAAGAAAAGAAAAGGAAACAAGAAACAGCACCCCAUCAUGAAAGAGUUACACUAUUACCAGAG